rnacentral:rRNA from 1 species
GAUGAACGCUGGCGGCGUGCUUAACACAUGCAAGUCGAACGAUGAAGCCCAGCUUGCUGGGUGGAUUAGUGGCGAACGGGUGAGUAACACGUGAGUAACCUGCCCUUGACUCUGGGAUAAGCCUGGGAAACUGGGUCUAAUACUGGAUAUGACUUCUCAUCGCAUGGUGGGGGGUGGAAAGAUUUAUUGGUCUUGGAUGGACUCGCGGCCUAUCAGCUUGUUGGUGAGGUAAUGGCUCACCAAGGCGACGACGGGUAGCCGGCCUGAGAGGGUGACCGGCCACACUGGGACUGAGACACGGCCCAGACUCCUACGGGAGGCAGCAGUGGGGAAUAUUGCACAAUGGGCGCAAGCCUGAUGCAGCGAAGCCGCGUGAGGGAUGACGGCCUUCGGGUUGUAAACCUCUUUCAGUAGGGAAGAAGCGAGAGUGACGGUACCUGCAGAAGAAGCGCCGGCUAACUACGUG